rnacentral:rRNA from 1 species
UAGCCGGACUGAGAGGUUGAACGGCCACAUUGGGACUGAGACACGGCCCAGACUCCUACGGGAGGCAGCAGUGGGGAAUAUUGCACAAUGGGGGAAACCCUGAUGCAGCGACGCCGCGUGGAGGAAGAAGGUCUUCGGAUUGUAAACUCCUGUUGUUGAGGAAGAUAAUGACGGUACUCAACAAGGAAGUGACGGCUAACUACGUGCCAGCAGCCGCGGUAAAACGUAGGUCACAAGCGUUGUCCGGAAUUACUGGGUGUAAAGGGAGCGCAGGCGGGAGAACAAGUUGGAAGUGAAAUCCAUGGGCUCAACCCAUGAACUGCUUUCAAAACUGUUUUUCUUGAGUAGUGCAGAGGUAGGCGGAAUUCCCGGUGUAGCGGUGGAAUGCGUAGAUAUCGGGAGGAACACCAGUGGCGAAGGCGGCCUACUGGGCACCAACUGACGCUGAGGCUCGAAAGUGUGGGUAGCAAACAGGAUUAGAUACCCUGGUAGUCCACACCGUAAACGAUGAUUACUAGGUGUUGGAGGAUUGACCCCUUCAGUGCCGCAGUUAACACAAUAAGUAAUCCACCUGGGGAGUACGACCGCAAGGUUGAAACUCAAAGGAAUUGACGGGGGCCCGCACAAGCAGUGGAGUAUGUGGUUUAAUUCGACGCAACGCGAAGAACCUUACCAAGUCUUGACAUCCCUUGACGAUGCUGGAAACAGUAUUUCUCUUCGGAGCAAGGAGACAGGUGGUGCAUGGUUGUCGUCAGCUCGUGUCGUGAGAUGUUGGGUUAAGUCCCGCAACGAGCGCAACCC